UACGUAGGUGACCAGCGUUGUCCGGAUUUACUGGGCGUAAAGAGCGCGCAGGCGGUCGUUCAAGUCGAGUGUGAAAAGCCCCCGGCUCAACUGGGGAGGGUCACGCGAUACUGAUCGACUGGAAGGCAGGAGAGGGUAGUGGAAUUCCCGGUGUAGUGGUGAAAUGCGUAGAUAUCGGGAGGAACACCAGUGGCGAAGGCGGCUUCUGGUCUGUAACUGACGCUGAGGCGCGAAGCGUGGGAGCAAGCAGGGA
rnacentral:rRNA from 1 species